rnacentral:rRNA from 1 species
UAAAACGUAGGUGGCAAGCGUUAUCCGGAAUUACUGGGCGUAAAGGGUGUGCAGGCGGGUGUGCAAGUGGUGUAUGAAAUCUCCCAGCUUAACUGGGAUAGGUUAUGCCAGACUGCAUAUCUAGAGGACGAGAGAGGGGGGUGGAAUUCCGGGUGUAGUGGUGAAAUGCGUAGAGAUCCGGAGGAACCCCAGAGGCGAAGGCGGCCCCCUGGCUCGUACCUGACGCUCAGCCACGAAAGCAUGGGGAGCGAACGGGAUUAGAAACCCCGGUAGUCCAUGCCGUAAACGAUGCAAACUAGGCGCUGACGGUCUCAACCCCGCCGGUGCCGCAGCUAACGCGAUAAGUUUGCCGCCUGGGGAGUACGGUCGCAAGGCUA